rnacentral:rRNA from 1 species
AGCAGCCGCGGUAAUUCCAGCUCCAAUAGCGUAUAUUAAAGUUGUUGCAGUUAAAAAGCUCGUAGUUGAAUUUCGGGGUCAGUAGGUCGGUCGUGCCACUGGUAUGAACUGGUUUUACUGAUUCCUCCCUCUUGAAGAACUGUAAUGCCAUUAAUUUGGUGUUGCGGGAAUUUGGACUGUUACUUUAGAAAAAAUUAGAGUGUUUAAAGCAAGCUAACGCUUGAAUACAUUAGCAUGGAAUAAU